AUUGACUAAUUUGUGGAUGUUGAACCAUCCUAGCAUCCCCGAAAUAAAUCUCACUUGAUUAUUAUGUAUGAUCCUUUUAGUGUUGUGUUGAAACUGAGGUU